UAUUUUUUUUUCGUGUUUUGAGACAAGCAUUUUUUCCAGUCAAGUAUAAAGACAAAUGCAGUUGAGCAUGUAACUGUAAGUGCAAAAGAAGCAGUAUAAGUACAUCAUGAGCAGUUUGGGUGUCUGCACAUGAAGUAUAUAAAUGGAAUAAACUGUAGAAGACAAUGUAAAAAUAGAUAAAUGAACAGUAUGACAUAUAUGCAGUUAUUUUCUGUAUAGUUUUUUCUUUGUAGCGUUGCUGUUGUUCAGGAUCAGUUUUUUAUAUUUUUGGGCAUAUUUUAGAUGAACACCAACAACCUCGACGAGAGACAAAUGGAUAAAGACGAAGAGGGCGGAAGAAAAAGUUACUUUGUGUUUCUGCCCGGAGCUUCACACUGUAACACCUGGCGGUUGUAAACAAGAAGCAUGAGUAGGGCUGGCCUCACUGCUGUGUGGACUGAGCUAUAAAACGGCUGUAUUAUAACUGUAUUAUAAUAUCAUUGAGAAAUAUUAGAGCGUUAAAGUAACGAUGCGUUCAGCUGAGUAUCUGAGAGAGUUGAUCAGCGACAGACUGGCUGCUGCUGCUGGAGAAAUAUUCACAGAGUUUGAAAAAAACAUCGUCCAGUAACUGGUGUGAAGCAAUCCAGCUCCGUCGACAAAGAGCUCCCACAGUCUUAUGUCUGUGAGAAUGAGAAGACUGUUGUUGACCAUCAGCCCCAUGACCAGGAGAGAAACUCCAUGGUGGACCACAAUGACCCAGAGCCUCUACGGAUUAAAGAUGAGCAGGAGGAACUCUGUGCCAGUCUGGAGCAAUCAAACCUAGAGUUUCCUCAAAUGAAAAGGGAGCAGGAAGAAUUCUGCACCAUUCUGAAUCAGUCAAACACAGAGCUUCCACUAAUUAAAACAGAUCAAGAGGAACUCUGCUCCAGUCAGGAGGAAGAGCAACUUGGAUUGAAACAAGAGACUGAUAACUUUAUGGUGACUCCUGCUUAUGAGGAAAGUGACCACAGUGAACCAAAACCAAACAGCGAUCAGCUCCAGCUUCACAUCUCUUGUGCAGCUGAGAGCCAAGACCAGGAAGGAAGCAAGGAUGUACACUCAGGAUCAACUAGAUGUGUCAAUCUGAAGCCAAGACAUCGCAGAAACAGUAAUGAUGUAAUGAUCCAAUGUCUGAGAGACAGUGUGAUAAUGGCAAGGCAACAAAAUCUCUAAUAUGUGAGGUCUGUGGAAAAGCUUUUCGGCACAAGUCAGAUUUAGCAAGACAUCACAGAACCCACACAGGUGAAAAGCCGUAUUCUUGUGACACCUGUGGAAAAAGCUUCAGUCAACGGACCCAUGUCAAGACUCACAUGAAAAGUCACACAGGAGAGAAGGCGUAUGUUUGUCACACCUGUGGAGAAAGAUUUUCUCGUGUAUCGACACGUUAUAGACACAUGGCAAUUCACAAAAGCCAUAUCUUUGUGAAACAUGUGGAUAAACGGGGUCAACGGGGACAUUUGACUGUCCACAUGAGAGGUCACACAGGUGAGAAGUGUAGCGUAUUAAGGAGCAGAACAUUCCAGAGCAACACACAAAGAUUCAAAGAGGAAAGUCACUGGAAUGCAACGGAGUUUGAAGUUCAGCGUUGUUUUAGCUUUUCUUUUGGGCUUUCUUGAGUUUAGUUCAGUUUUUGUUUUUGACUUUAAGAAUGUAACUUGGGCUUUUAGGAAAAUUCAAUGUAUUAUCAUUAUUGUUUGUAGUAUUUGUUAAUAAAUGUUUGUGCAUAAUUA